GACGAACGCUGGCGGCGUGCUUAACACAUGCAAGUCGAACGGAAAGGCCCUGCUUUUGUGGGGUGCUCGAGUGGCGAACGGGUGAGUAACACGUGAGUAACCUGCCCUUGACUUUGGGAUAACUUCAGGAAACUGGGGCUAAUACCGGAUAGGAGCUCCUGCUGCAUGGUGGGGGUUGGAAAGUUUCGGCGGUUGGGGAUGGACUCGCGGCUUAUCAGCUUGUUGGUGGGGUAGUGGCUUACCAAGGCUUUGACGGGUAGCCGGCCUGAGAGGGUGACCGGCCAAAUUGGGACUGAGAUAAGGCCCAGACUCCUACGGGAGGCAGGAGUGGGGAAUAUUGCACAAUGGGAGGAAGCCUGAUGCAGCAACGCCGCGUGCGGGAUGACGGCCUUCGGGUUGUAUACCGCUUUCGCCUGUGACGAAGCGAGAGUGACGGUAAUGGGUAAAGAAGCACCGGCUAACUACGUG
rnacentral:rRNA from 1 species